ACACGCGCGCCGCGUCUUACGUUACAACGCAGCCGUGUAGCUCUACGCUCCUGUGAUAACAAAACCACGCGCAGCAAAUUGUGAAAGUGUUGCUUGUAAACGCGAUUUCACGAGUGAGAGUAUUUUGCCGCGCUGACGGCCAGACGAACAUCAACUUCGCAACAGUUAAGUGGGAGAGGAUUAUCUCGUGAAUUUGAGAGAGGAGAGGGUUCAAUGGAAGCGAGGUUCGUGACCUGCCGGAGUUUCCAGCAGAUCAAGCCGCCCGAAAAGAGCCUCGCGUCGCCGCCGACGGUGAAGGGGCUCUUGUCACGUUUCGGGAGCCAAGCCCAAGCACUGUUCGCGCCGAAGAAACCCCGUUUCGGAUCCUCAGUGGCUAUUCACAAACUCCGCGAGACCAAGUGGUUUAAACAUGAUGAACAGAACAUAUUGUGCGCUGUCCUCGAGUCAGGAUUCGUACUUGAAGUCAGAGCGGAGGACCCAUUGCCGCCAGACUCUACACUGUCACCAGACUAUCAUAUGUACGCAAUUGCCAUGUGGAAGAAGGGUAAAGAAAAAACAAAGAACCCGGAACAGAUAGAAGUGUACACCGUUCAACAGAAAGGUGUAAGGAAACGAGUCGUCAAGACUACACUGGGUGCCUUUUGGAAAAAGGAUUCUGUGAUUCGUAUCAACAAUGUUGACGACAAACAGGAGACACCCAACAAUGAAAAAGACAUCAGAGCGAAGCUGGAUAUGGCAACUAAGUCAAGGUUCGAGAGGAACUGGCAUAAUACACUGCAUUUCGUCCACUGGUGUCGCUAUGGAGAAACGCCGCAAGAAGCUCGCAUGAGACAGAUCAGCUUAACGACGUCGAAAACACCCAUGAUUAUCAUCUUUUGAUGGUAAUCGUUGAGGCGCUUUGGACACUUUCAGCUGGCAUCAAUAACACCGAUAAGCGAGUCUCUCAAGUGGGGUAACAUCGGCAUGAACAUGGGCGUUAUGCUCGUAAGCCAAAACCAAGGCAGGGAAAAGGCGAAGUCCGUCUGAGUACAACUGGCCAGCGGCAGCGCUGGCAAACAAAACUGCUACACCUGUUUCUGGCCGACUAGGCCCAAGAACAUCGACAACGUCUAAUUUGAAUUUUGAAUUACAAACGUUAUUUUGACAGCGGAAAGGAUAUUCCUUUUUUGAAUUUCAAUUCGAUUCUCAUAUUUUUUUUUUCCUUUUUGUCUUAUUACUUUUGUGACAGUAUUCUCUUCGCAUCUUUCUGAUUGGCUCCGCUUAUUGAAUCGCUCUUUUCCGAUAUUAAAUUGCAAAAUUUUGUAUCCAAAACAUUCCUGAUAAGAUAAAAGACGCCCCUAGGCUUGUACUUUAAAUCUUUGAUAUAAAGCUCUAAUCUAUUGAUAUUACAAUGUUUAUCAUACUUUAAUCUUAACAUAAGCGAUAAUAAUUAAGAGGAUUUUUUAUGGUCUGAGAGUGACAACCCUAGUCUUACGAGUAUUUCUUUAAUAUUUUUUUUCUGAAUAAGAAGACUGUUUUGAUUUUCUAUGAAAAUUAUUGUUGUAUAAAUGAGAACGACUAGACUGCGAAAAAUACAAUAUUGACAACAGGAUGUUUUCUACGAAAAUUGUUCUGUCUUUAUUCAGAGUAAAAACAUCACCUUUCGUGGUCGGUAUAUAGAAGUUUUUAAAAGUAUUGAAACGUUGUUUAAUUAAUGUAUUUUUAACUUAUGAAGCAUACUGUUUGCGACCUAAUGUUAUGACAAUCAAAUAUUGACUGUUGUGAGAGUAUUUUACUCUUAAGUUAAUGUUCUAUUUAUAAUGAAGCAUUUUUUUUUAUAAAUAAAUGAUUAAUUGACAA